rnacentral:pre_miRNA from 1 species
UAUGUACUCCCUCUGUCCCAAAAUUCUUGUCUUAGAUUUGUCUAGAUAUGGAUGUAUCUAAUACUAAAAUAUGACUUGAUACAUCCAUAUUUAGACAAAUUUAAGACAAAAAUUUUGGGACGGAUGGAGUACUUC